rnacentral:rRNA from 1 species
AUUGAACGCUGGCGGCAGGCUUAACACAUGCAAGUCGAGCGCGCGGCGGACGGGUGAGUAAUGUCUGGGAAACUGCCUGAUGGAGGGGGAUAACUACUGGAAACGGUAGCUAAUACCGCAUACCAUCAGAUGUGCCCAGAUGGGAUUAGCUAGUAGGUGGGGUAAUGGCUCACAUAGGCGACGAUCCCUAGCUGGUCUUAGAGGAUGACCAGCAAAAAGGGAACGGAGAAACGGGCCAAGCUCGUACGGGGGGAAGCAGGGGGGAAUAUUGCACAAUGGGCGCAAGCCUGAUGCAGCCAUGCCGCGUGUGUGAAGAAGGCCUGCGGGUUGUAAAGGACGUUCAGCGAGGAGGCGGUACUCGCAGAAGAAGCACCGGCUAACUACGUGCCAGCAGCCGCGGUAAUUC